AAUUCGGUAGCUUAGUUGGUAAAGCACCCGUCUGCCAUACAAGGGUCAUGAGUUCAAAUCUCACCUGAGCUG
rnacentral:tRNA from 1 species